CCUACGGGUGGCAGCAGUGGGGAAUAUUGGACAAUGGAGGCAACUCUGACCCAGCAACGCCGCGUGAGUGAUGAAGGUCUUCGGAUUGUAAAACCCUUUAAGCGGGGACGAAGAAAUUGACUGUACUCACAGAAUAAGUCUCCGCUAACUACGUGCCAGCAGCCGCGGUACUACGUAGGAGGCAAGCGUUAACCGGAAGGACUGGGCGUAAAGGGUGCGUAGGUGGUUUGACAAGUUGGUAGCGUAAUUCCGGGGCUCAACUUCGGAACUACAACUAAAACUGGUGGGCUUGAGUGCAGGAGAGGUGAGUGGAAUUCCAGGUGUAGCGGUGGAAUGCGUAGAGAUUAGGAGGAACACCGGCGGCGAAAGCGGUUCACUGGACAAAGACUGACGCUGAGGUACGAAAGCGUGGGGAGCAAACAGGAGUAGAUACCCCUGUAGUC
rnacentral:rRNA from 1 species